CACCUGCCGAAUCAACUAGCCCCGAAAAUGGAUGGCGCUGAAGCGCGCGACCUAUACCCGGCCGUCGGGGCAAGAGCCAGGCCCCGAUGAGUAGGAGGGCGCGGCGGUCGCUGC
rnacentral:ncRNA from 1 species